rnacentral:rRNA from 1 species
AGUGAACGCUGGCGGUAGGCCUAACACAUGCAAGUCGAACGGCAGCACAGUAAGAGCUUGCUCUUACGGGAGGCGAGUGGAGGACGGGUGAGGAAUACAUCGGAAUCUACUUUUUCGUGGGGGAUAACGUAGGGAAACUUACGCUAAUACCGCAUACGACCUACGGGUGAAAGCAGGGGAUCUUCGGACCUUGCGCGAUUGAAUGAGCCGAUGUCGGAUUAGCUAGUUGGCGAGGUAAAGGCCCACCCAGGCGACGGUCCGUAGCUGGUCUGAGGGGAUGACCAGACACACGGGAACUGAGACACGGUCCCGACUCCUACGGGAGGCAGCCGUGGGGAAUAUUGGACAAUGGACGCAAGCCUGAUCCAGCCACACCGCGUGGUUGAAGAGGGCAUUCGGGUUGUAAAGCCCUUUUGUUGGGAAAGAAAAGCAGCAGGUUAAUACCCCGCUGUUCUGACGGUACCCAAAGAAUAAGUACCGGCUAACUUCGUG